CUUCUGCCUUCUCGCCCAAAGGCGAUUGGCGCCCUGCGGCGUAGAUCGAGGAUCGAAUCCGCGACAAUGGCAUUCGUG
rnacentral:sRNA from 1 species